rnacentral:rRNA from 1 species
AGAGUUUGAUCCUGGCUCAGAUUGAACGCUGGCGGCAGGCCUAACACAUGCAAGUCGAACGGUAACAGGAAACAGCUUGCUGUUUCGCUGACGAGUGGCGGACGGGUGAGUAAUGUCUGGGAAACUGCCUGAUGGAGGGGGAUAACUACUGGAAACGGUAGCUAAUGCCGCAUAACGUCGCAAGACCAAAGAGGGGGACCUUCGGGCCUCUUGCCAUCGGAUGUGCCCAGAUGGGAUUAGCUAGUAGGUGGGGUAACGGCUCACCUAGGCGACGAUCCCUAGCUGGUCUGAGAGGAUGACCAGCCACACUGGAACUGAGACACGGUCCAGACUCCUACGGGAGGCAGCAGUGGGGAAUAUUGCACAAUGGGCGCAAGCCUGAUGCAGCCAUGCCGCGUGUAUGAAGAAGGCCUUCGGGUUGUAAAGUACUUUCAGCGGGGAGGAAGGGAGUAAAGUUAA